rnacentral:lncRNA from 1 species
UGGGCGGGGCGGGCUGCUCCCAUUCCCCACCCAUGCUAAUGCUGCCUUCUCUUGUGCUCCCAGGUGUGAUGGGAGCUCUUCCCUGGCUCCCUCUAGUCCUCCUCUGCGGCUGCAGCCACUUCCAGAGCUCAGAUGCGGCUUCCAGCCUGCGCCCAGAGAUCAUCAGCCCCCUGAAGCCCGUGAAAAGUCCCACUCUAGGGAAACGCUUCAGUGUCAGCUGCCAGGCUCAGAGCUCCUUCCCGAGGAUGACCCUCAUCUACUGGCUGGCAAACGGCUCCUUCGUGGAGGACCGGUACCCGGACGGGGCAGUGAGCAAAGGGGACGUCGUCACCGAGAGCACGGACUGAGCGUGGGGACAACAGCGCCAGCCUGCGAGAGGCACCGAUACUGGGUCUACGGCUGCCAAGGCCAUGUCAGCCUCCCUCCAUGGCCAACACAGCUGAGCUGCGCUGCCCUCCCCUGCCCCCUCUGUUCUUCCUGUGUCUGCUUGCCGCCCGGCCGGGCCAUGGCUUGGCUGCCCCGGAGGCCUAGGGCUGGAUAUAGCCCCAGCCCUCUGCUUGUCUGUUACAUUCCCCACCCCAGACACAUUACACUGGUGGGGGAGGCUCCCAGAGGACUUGCCCUCUGGACACGGGCACAAGGCGGCAGUAACGGGGCUGGGAAAGGCCCACGUUUGCCCCCCACCCCAUCCCUCUUCCACCGCUCUGGCAGGGUCACUCUCUCCCCUAGUGAAGUGGGGUGACCAAAGCCGCCCCCUGCUGCCAGCCCAGCCUACGACUGAAGGGGGCAGGGUCCCUUCGACAGCUGCCAGCAAUGCCCUGCCCAUUAUAUGCCCAGGAGGGCAGCACCUGCUUGGGGCAGGAGCUAGGAGACCAGCAACCACAGGCCUCUUGCUGCCAGCUCUCCUCCCACUUUGCACUGUUUCUAUUAAAUAAAAAUACA